CGUUGGAAAAGAGCAACGCGACAAAGUCACGUUACACAGUAACGCUGCGUAAUGCACAUAUGUUAGUGAUAAGUGCAAUUUCAGUUGAAUCAAGCGAAGUUCAUGAAUGCUUUAUAUACGUAUAUGCUACACCUGCGCCAGGUACGAGUAGCAAACUUUCAGGACCCCGAUACAAUACCUUCUCCAUAGCUUUCAAUGUCAACGCCAUUAUCUUAGUUAUGAAAGAUAAUUUUGAAAAUACAUAACUUGGGAAAUAACUUGGAAAUUAAUAUCAUUAGAUUUGUUAAACUAUUUCGAAAGUAUUCUUAGCAAACAUCAAGUGCUAUAACUUUUGUCUCUGUCCCAUUUUUUAAUGCACAUGAAGCAUAUUACAAAUUUGAUUUGGAAAGAAUUUGAGUCUGAAUAUUUGACUUCGAAUUUCAAUUUCAAUUUCAAUUUGAGAAUUUACUUGUAAUUUCAUAAUAUUCAAUUUUAAUUGCAACUUCUUUGCUGCAUGAUUACAUUACAAAUCACACCAAAAUAAUAAGUGGGGUCCAUAGUCAUGUGGGACAGAAAGACAUAUUGUGUGUGAUAGAUCUAUUGUACACUUCGUCUAUGGCCAUAUAUUCUCUUCGUCAUACAUACAUACAAAGGUUUAUGAAAAUAUUCAAACAUAUAUUAUGCGUGUUACAGAAAAAAUUUUGAAAUUUCAUUAAUACCAUAAUGAAAUCUUACUAUCAUGAUUAUAAUACUAAAGUUUGAAACAAGUCUAAAAACGUACACAGAAACUACAAGAUAUUUAAUAGACUACAACUAAAGACGAUCUCUGUAUCUAAGCUAUCUCUAAGCCUGUACUACAAGCUAUAACUCAUAUUUUGCAGAAAUCAUAGAAAUAUUUCCAUUUAUUGUUUAAGUACUAAUAGAAUUUCAAAAUGUUUUAUACAUCUAACGUAUACAAUAUAUACAUAAAAGUUUGCUAUGUUAAGUGUUCAAAUGCUUUCCUGAGCUACUAUAUGUACGAUUGGAAGUUACUGGAGCGCGAAAGAUCAACAUAAGAAAAUGGAACUAUCGAAUUCGUUUCAUUGAUCAUUCUGCUUCCAUUGGUUAUUCUACAUAAAUUCAACAGCGGAUCCACGCGAUGCCUACUACCCGAUCAAUAAACAAUUCCAGCCGUGAUUUCAUUACCUCCUAUACGAGUAAACGUAAUUAGCGGUAACAGUAAUUGUUACUCGACCGUGCAGUAUAUUGAAAAUUUUAUAGUACCCUGCAACGUUACGUACGUGUAUAUAUCUGCACUUAUAUGUACGUAUAUAGGAUCAAGAAAGUACACAUGUAUAUGUACAUAUGUACGUGUGUUCUCGGGAAACAUAUAUCAAUUAUCCAUCUUAUCAACGCAACGCCAGGAGCCUUGUCAUUAUCGGCAUGCCGGAAGGGACAAGCUUGCACGAACGUAUACCAUGUUAUGUUGCAUCGCAGUUUCGUGAAUUAUGAUGAACUAAUGACAUUUCUGUACGUAAGGACGUUACACACAGUAAGCAUAUGUUCUGAGUUGUGUAUUUCCGGUAACGCUAUGACGGUUAAAGUUGGGAUAAAUUAAUGAUUGAUGUCGCUCAAAUAUCCGUGAAAUUGAACAUCAAAUCGUUAUAAUUUAUAUUAAGAUAAGAUAGUAAUUAGAGUGAAAAUAUUCGUCAAUUAAACCGUAAUGGAUUUAGAUUAAAUCAAUCGGAUAAUGACCAGAUUAUUAUGUUACCUAUCAAUUCCUAUCGUCUAUCUCAUUUAUAUUCUAUUAAUGUAACUUUAUUAUAAAUAUUUUACUGUAGGUAUAAUUUCGGAUAAAUUUUAAUAAAAUUAAAUGGGAUUUCUA